rnacentral:rRNA from 1 species
AUUGCACAGACAACCAGGAUGUUGGCUUAGAAGCAGCCACUCAUUUAAAGAGUGCGUAAUAGCUCACUGGUCGAGUGAUUCUGCGCCGAAAAUUUCCGGGGCUAAAACUUACUACCGAAGCUACGGCAUCAUUAUGAUGGGUAGGGGAGCUUUCUAUACGGGUUGAAGCAUGACCGUAAGGACAUGUGGACUGUAUAGAAGUGAGAAUGUUGGCAUGAGUAGCGAGAUGUGGGUGAGAAUCCCACAGGCCGUAAACCCAAGGUUUCCAGGGGAAGGUUCGUCCGCCCUGGGUUAGUCAGGACCUAAGCCGAGGCCGAAAGGCGUAGGUGAUGGACAACAGGUUGAUAUUCCUGUACCACCAAUAACCGUUUGAGAAAUGGGAUGACACAGUAGGAUAAGCUAACCGCACUGUUGGUUAUGUGCGGGCAAGUAUUGAGGCAGUUCCGAUAGGCAAAUCCGUCGGAAUAAUGCUGGGGUACGAUGCGGAGCGAAAUUAAGUAGCGAAGUAGCUGAUUUCACACUGUCGAGAAAAGUCUCUAUCGAGGUUAAAGGUGCCUGUACCGCAAACCGACACAGGUGGGUGAGGAGAGUAUCCUAAGGCCAGCGAGAGAACUGUUGUUAAGGAACUCGGCAAAAUGACCCCGUAACUUAGGGAGAAGGGGUGCCUUCGAAAGAAGGCCGCAGAGAAUAGGCCCAAGCGACUGUUUACCAAAAACAUAGGUUUCUGCUAAGUCGCAAGACGAUGUAUAGGAGCUGACGCCUGCCCGGUGCUGGAAGGUUAAGGGGAUCUGUUAGAGCAAUCGAAGCAGUGAACUUAAGCCCCAGUAAACGGCGGCCGUAACUAUAACGGUCCUAAGGUAGCGAAAUUCCUUGUCGGGUAAGUUCCGACCCGCACGAAAGGCGUAACGAUUUGGGCACUGUCUCAACAACAGACUCGGUGAAAUUGUAAUACCGGUGAAGAUGCCGGUUACCUGCGACAGGACGGAAAGACCCCAUGGAGCUUUACUGUAGCUUGACAUUGAGUCUCGGUGCUACAUGUACAGGAUAGGUGGGAGACUAUGAAGCAUGGACGUCAGUCUGUGUGGAGUCAUCCUUGGGAUACCACCCUUGUAGUACUGGGAUUCUAACCAGAGGCCAUGAAUCUGGUCUUGGGACACUGUCAGGUGGACAGUUUGACUGGGGCGGUCGCCUCCCAAAAAGUAACGGAGGCGCUCAAAGGUUCUCUCAGUACGGUCGGAAAUCGUACGAAGAGUGUAAAGGCAAAAGAGAGCUUGAUUGCAAGACAUACAGGUCGAGCAAGGACGAAAGUCGGACUUAGUGAUCCGGUGGUUCCGCAUGGAAGGGCCAUCGCUCAACGGAUAAAAGCUACCCUGGGGAUAACAGGCU